rnacentral:rRNA from 1 species
GAUGAACGCUGGCGGCGUGCCUAAUACAUGCAAGUCGAGCGAACGGACGAGAAGCUUGCUUCUCUGAUGUUAGCGGCGGACGGGUGAGUAACACGUGGAUAACCUACCUAUAAGACUGGGAUAACUUCGGGAAACCGGAGCUAAUACCGGAUAAUAUUUUGAACCUCAUGGUUCAAAAGUGAAAGACGUUCUUUCUGUCACUUAUAGAUGUAUCCUCGCUGCAUUAGCUAGUUGGUAAGGUAACGGCUUACCAAGGCAACGAUGCAUAGCCGACCUGAGAGGGUGAUCGGCCAAACUGGAACUGAGACACGGUACAGACUCCGAAGGGAGGAAGCAGUAGGGAAUCUUCCGCAAUGGGCGAAAGCCUGACGGAGCAACGCCGCGUGAGUGAUGAAGGUCUUCGGAUCGUAAAACUCUGUUAUUAGGGAAGAACAUAUGUGUAAGUAACUGUGCACAUCUUGACGGUACCUAAUCAGAAAGCCACGGCUAACUACGUG